rnacentral:rRNA from 1 species
AUACGGAGGACGCGAGCGUUAUCCGGAUUCAUUGGGUUUAAAGGGUGCGCAGGCGGCCGUGCAAGUCAGCGGUGAAAGCCCGGGGCUCAACCCCGGAAGUGCCGUUGAUACUGCAUGGCUGGAAUGCGGUCGAGGCGGGCGGGAGGUGGCGGGGAGCGGUGAAAGGCUUAGAUAUGCCACAGAACGCCGAUAGCGGAGGCAGCUCGCCAGGCCUGCAUGGACGCUCGGGCACGAAAGCGUGGGGAUCGAACAGGAUUAGAUACCCUGGUAGUCCACGCCGUAAACGAUGGGCGCUCGUCGUCGGCGGCAGACAGUCGGCGGCCAAGCGAAAGCGAUAAGCGCCCCACCUGGGGAGUACGGUCGCAAGGCUGAAACUCAAAUGAAUUGGCGGGG